AACGCAUAUUGCACCCGACAGGCUCGCUUGUCGGGUCUGCCUGUCUGAGUAUCAGUACGGACCCAAUCAACAAUGAAAGGUUAGUAUUUAGCUGGACAUGUUGUGUUGGUGCUCACUAGAGGUCUUUAGACUUUUGGUGGAUUUGAGUGUUCAGUCAUCAUUUUUUGGUUGAUCACUUGAAAUGUAUUGGUGUCGUCUAGCUGACAGUCGCCGCGUAAGCAUUGUUAAUCAUCUUUAUUGAUGUUCCUUGCUAUUACAUGGACCAACGACAAUAAGCACUUAUUAGUACGAUCCAAGCACAAACUCCAAAUACUUGUAUUUAACCAUCUUGAUCUCAGAUCAGGCAGGAUGACCCGCUGAACUUAA
rnacentral:misc_RNA from 1 species